rnacentral:rRNA from 1 species
UACGUAGGGUGCGAGCGUUAAUCGGAAUUACUGGGCGUAAAGCGUGCGCAGGCGGCGCGUUAAGACAGGUGUGAAAGCCCCGAGCUUAACUUGGGAAUUGCGCUUGUGACUGGCGAGCUGGAGUGUGGCAGAGGGGGGUGGAAUUCCGCGUGUAGCAGUGAAAUGCGUAGAGAUGCGGAGGAACACCGAUGGCGAAGGCAGCCCCCUGGGCCAACACUGACGCUCAUGCACGAAAGCGUGGGGAGCAAACAGG